CAGUAGCCGCGGUAAUACGGAGGGAGCUAGCGUUGUUCGGAAUUACUGGGCGUAAAGCGCACGUAGGCGGCUUUGUAAGUUAGAGGUGAAAGCCUGGAGCUCAACUCCAGAAUUGCCUUUAAGACUGCAUCGCUUGAAUCCGGGAGAGGUGAGUGGAAUUCCGAGUGUAGAGGUGAAAUUCGUAGAUAUUCGGAAGAACACCAGUGGCGAAGGCGGCUCACUGGACCGGCAUUGACGCUGAGGUGCGAAAGCGUGGGGAGCAAACAGGAUUAGAUACCCCAGUAGUCCCUGUCUCUUAUAC
rnacentral:rRNA from 1 species